rnacentral:rRNA from 1 species
GAUGAACGCUGGCGGCGUGCCUAAUACAUGCAAGUCGAGCGAACAGAUAAGGAGCUUGCUCCUUUGACGUUAGCGGCGGACGGGUUAGUAACACGUGGAUAACCUACCUAUAAGACUGGGAUAACUUCGGGAAACCGGAGCUAAUACCGGAUAACAUAUUGAACCGCAUGGUUCAAUAGUGAAAGGCGGCUUUGCUGUCACUUAUAGAUGGAUCCGCGCCGUAUUAGCUAGUUGGUAAGGUAACGGCUUACCAAGGCAACGAUACGUAGCCGACCUGAGAGGGUGAUCGGCCACACUGGAACUGAGACACGGUCCAGACUCCUACGGGAGGCAGCAGUAGGGAAUCUUCCGCAAUGGGCGAAAGCCUGACGGAGCAACGCCGCGUGAGUGAUGAAGGUCUUCGGAUCGUAAAACUCUGUUAUCAGGGAAGAACAAAUGUGUAAGUAACUGUGCACAUCUUGACGGUACCUGAUCAGAAAGCCACGGCUAACUACGUG